rnacentral:lncRNA from 1 species
CAUGAUAAAUCUCUCAACAAGGGUCUAACUCAUUUUGAACAAACUCAAUACAGAGUAGAUAAUCAUAAUUAAUUUUUUCCAGUUUUAGUAGGCAUAUAAAACAUUGAGGAUGGUAGCUAGAAUUUUUGAAUAUUUUGAAAUAAAUUCUCCAAGUAACAAUGAUAUCAAGAAUAAGAAACUCAUACUCUACCAUCUCAUAUUCCAGAAUGACUUAAGUAACACCGGUUUUUUUUUAAAUGAUUUUUUUUCAAUAAUUGCACGUUUUAGGAAAUAUCAGAGAGUGAGAUUAAUCAUAAUUAGAAAUAUUUUAAUCUUUUUAAUUUAUCAUGUCGGAAACAAAAUUCUGCAUAAUCCAAGAUAUAUGUAUGUGUAAUAGUAAAGUGUGCAGAGUGUGUACCUGAAUCGUGGAGUGGUGUAGUCGAAGUGUGUUUGGCAUGUCGAGGGAUUUCCCCCAUACUUGUUUUCUGCUUUCUUGUACAAGGAUAAAGUAGAGAUACACAAGACAUAAUAGUAAUAAUAAUAAUACUCUUUAUUAAUCUUGAGGCAUUUAUUACAAAAGACUAGUAGCAAACUGACAGUAAUAGUAGCAAACCGACGAUAAUAGUAAAUCUAAACCGAAUUUAAAGAUAAAUAACUAAGAUGCAUUACCUCAAGGUCUAAUCUAGAUAACUUAGCGGCGCUCUGAUUCCUUAAUGUUCUUAUUGGCACUAGCAAGAUUAUGCCUAAGGCCUAAUAUAAUGGUGUUGUGGUUAGAGAGCUGCCUAGUGAGGGAAUUAAUCGAGGACUGGAGGUCUAUGAUAACUCUGUCUAGCCUGCGAACGUCCUCAUCAAUAUCGACUAUAGUCUUGC